rnacentral:pre_miRNA from 1 species
CAACUACUUCCUCUGUCCCAAAUUUCUUGUCUUAGAUUUGUCUAGAUACGGAUGUAUCUAAUACUAAAAUGUGACUUGAUACAUCCGUAUCUAGACAAAUCUAAGACAAGAAUUUUGGGACAGAGGGAGUACUUU